UACGUAGGGGGCGAGCGUUGUCCGAAGUUACUGGGCGUAAAGCGCGCGUAGGCGGUCUUUUAAGUCUGGUGUGAAAGGUCCAGGGCUCAACCCGGACAGUGCACUGGAUACUGAGAGACUUGAGUUAGGGAGAGGAGAGUGGAAUUCCUGGUGUAGCGGUGAAAUGCGUAGAUAUCAGGAGGAACACCGAUGGCGAAGGCAGCUCGCUGGGACGGUACUGACGCUGAGACGCGAAAGCGUGGGGAGCAAACAGG
rnacentral:rRNA from 1 species